GACGAACGCUGGCGGCGUGGAUUAGGCAUGCAAGUCGGACGGUAGAGCUUUAUCGUAAGAUAGAGUUUGAGAGUGGCGAACGGGUGAGUAACACGUAGGAAUCUACCCUUAAGACGGGGACAACCCAGGGAAACUUGGGCUAAUACCGGAUGAGAGUGCGAGAGAUUGCAUUUAAAAGGAUGGCGAAAGUUGUCGCUUAGGGAUGAGCCUGCGGUCUAUUAGUUAGUUGGUGAGGUAAGAGCUCACCAAGGCGAUGAUAGAUAGGCGGCCUUAACGGGUGGUCGCCCACACUGGGAUUGAGAUACGGCCCAGACUCCUACGGGAGGCAGCAGUCGAGAAUAGUCUACAAUGGCCGGAAGGCUGAUAGUGCGACGCCGCGUGAACGAGGGAGCCUCGGGUGUAAGUACUUUCUAUACGAGCAGUGCUAUAUAUAAUGGAUAGUAUAUAUAAGGAAGUAGUAAGUAUAAGGAAUAACGAAACGGACUAACUACCGUGCCAGC
rnacentral:rRNA from 1 species